AGCGAACGCUGGCGGCAGGCCUAACACAUGCGAGUCGAACGAACCUUUCGGGGUUAGUGGCGGACGGGUGAGUAACACGUGGGAACGUGCCUUUAGGUUCGGAAUAACUCAGGGAAACUUGUGCUAAUACCGAAUGUGCCCUUCGGGGGAAAGAUUAAUCGCCUUUAGAGCGGCCCGCGUCUGAUUAGCUAGUUGGUUGAGGUAAUGGCUCACCAAGGCGACGAUCAGUAGCUGGUCUGAGAGGAUGAUCAGCCACAUUGGGACUGAGACACGGCCCAAACUCCUACGGGAGGCAGCAGUGGGGAAUCUUGCGCAAUGGGCGAAAGCCUGACGCAGCCAUGCCGCGUGAAUGAUGAAGGUCUUAGGAUUGUAAAAUUCUUUCACCGGGGACGAUAAUGACGGUACCCGGAGAAGAAGCCCCGGCUAACUUCGUG
rnacentral:rRNA from 1 species